UACGUAGGGACCAAGCGUUGUCCGGAUUUAUUGGGCGUAAAGAGCUCGUAGGCGGCCCUCCACGUCGGAUGUGAAAGCUCAGGGCUCAACCCUGAGAUGCCAUUCGAUACGGGAAGGCUAGAGGUAGGUAGGGGAAAGUGGAAUUCCUGGUGUAGCGGUGAAAUGCGCAGAUAUCAGGAGGAACACCGGUGGCGAAGGCGGCUUUCUGGGCCUUACCUGACGCUGAGGAGCGAAAGCUGGGGGAGCGAACAGG
rnacentral:rRNA from 1 species